ACGGAAGGCAGCAGUGGGGAAUCUUGCCCAAUGGGCGAAAGCCUGAGGCAGCGACGCCGCGUGAGGGAGGAAGGCCUUCGGGUUGUAAACCUCUUUCAGGAGGGACGAAGCUACUCGGGUGAAUAGCCCAGAGGGUGACGGUACCUCCAGAAGAAGCCCCGGCUAACUACGUGCCAGCAGCCGCGGUAAUACGUAGGGGGCAAGCGUUGUCCGGAUUUACUGGGCGUAAAGCGCGUGUAGGCGGCCACGCAGGUCCGUUGUGAAAACUGAAGGCUCAACCUUCAGACGUCGACGGAAACCGUGUGGCUAGAGUCCGGAAGAGGAGAGUGGAAUUCCUGGUGUAGCGGUGAAAUGCGCAGAUAUCAGGAAGAACACCAAUGGCGAAGGCAGCUCUCUGGGACGGUACUGACGCUGAGACGCGAAAGCGUGGGGAGCGAACAGGAUUAGAUACCCUGGUA
rnacentral:rRNA from 1 species